UACGAAGGGGACUAGCGUUGUUCGGAAUUACUGGGCGUAAAGCGCGUGUAGGCUGCUCAGAAAGUCGGAUGUGAAAGCCCUGGGCUUAACCUAGGAAGUGCAUUCGAAACUUCUGAGCUUGAGUUCUGGAGAGGAAGGCGGAAUUCUCGGUGUAGAGGUGAAAUUCGUAGAUAUCGAGAGGAACACCGGUGGCGAAGGCGGCCUUCUGGACAGUGACUGACGCUGAGACGCGAAAGCGUGGGGAGCAAACAGG
rnacentral:rRNA from 1 species